UACGUAGGGUGCGAGCGUUGUCCGGAAUUAUUGGGCGUAAAGGGCUCGUAGGCGGUUUGUCGCGUCGGGAGUGAAAACAUCCAGCUUAACUGGGUGCUUGCUUUCGAUACGGGCAGACUUGAGGUAUGCAGGGCAGAAUGGAAUUCCUGGUGUAGCGGUGAAAUGCGCAGAUAUCAGGAGGAACACCGGUGGCGAAGGCGGUUCUCUGGGCAUUACCUGACGCUGAGGAGCGAAAGUGUGGGGAGCGAACAGG
rnacentral:rRNA from 1 species